CCGUUUUCCCUUCCUGGAUGGCAACAAGUAUAGUACCGUUACAGUUACUGUAACCCAACAACUAUUUCGUUUGUGAAGAACAAACCAGAAUGUAAAUGCACUCUACAAUGUCAAGGAGGUUUGCUUUUGAAACAAUGAGGAGCGACGAACCACCUCAUGGGCAGCGGUACUGAAACUGCCCUGAAAAUCAGUCGGCCACCACCAGGUCUUAGCAACAGCUGCCACCAGAACAGCACCACUCGAGUGUGAAAACAAUCACAAGUGACUGGGAAGAAAUGCCAGCCCCUCCGAUGCCUUUUAUUUCAUGUCUUCCAUUGGUGCAGAGGUUUGGAGGCAGGAGAGACACUGUUUCAGAGCCUGGACCUCAUCCACAGGACAAAGGCAACACAGCCUCUUUCUCUUCUAAGCCCUUCCUGGUUUUUUUGCCAUUGCAAUUCCAGUGAGAGUCGAUCUUCAUGUCUUGGCUCCAAGAGUCAGCCCAGUCCUGUCACUCCUUGCAUCAUUACCGUGUAUUAUAAGACAAUCAUCUGCAGCUCACACAAAAUGAGCCACAUGCACAUAAACUGACAUUCAGAUGGAAAUCUUGCAGCAGAUUUGCCUUGACCUUCCAUGUUCUUUACCUGAGAUUCCAAGAUCAAACCAACACAUAGGUUAAAACCUUGCUGCGCUCCUCACCCCAGCAUCAUCACCUUGGAACACCGAGGCCAUACAUCAUUGUACAAGUCCUGUCAUCCACACUGUGGGGCCGUAAGAGACGGGAUCCCUCACUCCUUUCUUCCUUUCUCUCUGCUCUUUCCUUCUCUCCUUUUUUUCUAUACCCCCAUUUCUUUGUCUCUCCUUCUGUAUAUAUAGUACUCUCUUUCUCUCUCCCUUAUGCCUUAGUUUUCCUUCCCUCUCUACCACUCUCUUUCCCUUUUUGAAUAUAUAAGGAUAACACCAUCUUUAAGCUCUGCUGUUGGAUUCUGGUUAAAUUUCAUAUUAUAACUACUGAUAGUUGCCAAUACACUGCUCGUAGUAGGACUUUUGCUGUUAAUAUGUUGAUAAGUUCUGUUAUACUUUUGCCAAGUCACCAUUCGCUGUAACCAAUAUUCCAACAAGUACUUUUAGUAAAACUCACAAUUGAAUUGGA